rnacentral:sRNA from 1 species
ACCCUCAACUUUGUAGAGCAUUCCAUUAGUUGCAAGGAAAAAUUGAAUAAAAAAAAUAAAAUUGGAGCUGCCUUUACUGAUGAUGGCUUUGCCAUGGGUGUGGCUUACAUUCUAAAGCUUUUGGAUCAGUACCGAGAGUUUGACUCACUUCACUGGUUCCAGUCUGUUAGAGAGAAAUACCUGAAGGAGAUAAGAGCAGUUGCUAAGCAACAGAAUGUGCAGUCGGCCAGUCAAGAUGAAAAACUCUUACAAACCAUGAAUCUCACUCAGAAGCGACUAGAUGUCUAUCUACAGUGCAAGAAUUUUCUUCAGAGCAGACAAGACUGCGGCUGAAGAAAACCAAGAAAAGAA